rnacentral:misc_RNA from 1 species
GAUGAAGAACGCAGUGAAAUGCGAUAAGUAAUGUGAAUUGCAGAAUUCAGUGAAUCAUCGAAUUUUUGAACGCACAUUGCGCCCGUCAGUAUUCUGGCGGGCAUGCCUGUUCGAGCGUCAUUACGCCCCUCAAGUCCCCUGUGGACUUGGUGUUGGGGAUCGGCGAGGCUGGUUUUCCAGCACAGCCGUCCCUUAAAUUAAUUGGCGGUCUCGCCGUGGCCCUCCUCUGCGCAGUAGUAAAACACUCGCAACAGGAGCCCGGCGCGGUCCACUGCCGUAAAACCCCCCAACUUUUUAUAGUUGACCUCGAAUCAGGUAGGACUACCCGCUGAACUUAAGCAUAUCAAUAAGCGGAGGA